GGACGGGUGAGUAAUGCUUGGGAAUCUAGCUUAUGGAGGGGGGUAACUACGGAAAACUGUAGCUAAUACCGCGUAAUAUCGAAAGAUUAAAGUGUGGGACCUUCGGGCCACAUGCCAUAGGAUGAGCCCAAGUGGGAUUAGGUAGUUGGUGAGGUAAAGGCUCACCAAGCCGACGAUCUCUAGCUGGUCUGAGAGGAUGACCAGCCACACUGGGACUGAGACACGGCCCAG
rnacentral:rRNA from 1 species